rnacentral:rRNA from 1 species
UACGUAGGAUCCAAGCGUUGUCCGGAUUUACUGGGUGUAAAGGGUGCGCAGGCGGGCUGGUAAGUCUGGGGUGAAAUCUCGCCGCUUAACGGCGAAACUGCCUUAGAUACUAUCAGUCUUGGAUAAGCGAGAGGUUCGUGGAAUUCCGAGUGUAGCAGUGAAAUGUGUAGAUAUUCGGAAGAACACCAGUGGCGAAGGCAGCGAACUGGCGCUUUAUCGACGCUCAGGCACGAAAGCAUGGGGAUCAAACAGG